CCUACGGGUGGCAGCAGUGGGGAAUAUUGGACAAUGGGCGAAAGCCUGAUCCAGCCAUGCCGCGUGUGUGAAGAAGGCCUUCGGGUUGUAAAGCACUUUCAGUGGGGAAGAAAGCCUUGGGGCUAAUACCCUCGAGGAAGGACAUCACCCACAGAAGAAGCACCGGCUAACUCCGUGCCAGCAGCCGCGGUAAUACGGAGGGUGCGAGCGUUAAUCGGAAUUACUGGGCGUAAAGCGCGCGUAGGCGGUCUGAUAAGCCGGUUGUGAAAGCCCCGGGCUCAACCUGGGAACGGCAUCCGGAACUGUCAGGCUAGAGUGCAGGGGAGGAAGGUAGAAUUCCCGGUGUAGCGGUGAAAUGCGUAGAGAUCGGGAGGAAUACCAGUGGCGAAGGCGGCCUUCUGGACUGACACUGACGCUGAGGUGCGAAAGCGUGGGUAGCAAACAGGAUUAGAUACCCGAGUAGU
rnacentral:rRNA from 1 species